GAUAUUCAUUGAUAAUUAUCAAAAUUUGGGGUACUAUUUAUGAAAAUUACUCCAAAUAUUUGUAUAAGCUUUGAAAGGUUGUUGUUUUAUCUGCAGUAACGGUUAGCUCAUCCUCCUUGCUAUUAUUUCAAUCCUCAUCUUCAUCUGUACUCUCUACCAUCUCCGUGUAAUCCCACCUUCUGUACUGAUUGGGGUAGAUGGGCACACGAAUUGAGGUUGAUUGUUGAACUUUCAAGGAUAUUAUGACUAUCUGUAGCUGUAAAACGGUAUACUCAGACGAGGCUUCUUUGGGAUGGCCAAUCUCGUGCCAAUGCUAUAGGGGUUGGGAUUCGAGGCUCCUCGUGUUACAUCGAGAAUGACUUUCUUCAUUCUCACAAGUUGCUUGUAAAGCUCUAGAGUUCGGCUUUGACAAGUGCCAUGGUGUUCUAUCCUAAGUAUCUGUUACUGAGAAAUUUGAAAGGUAUGUUAUUUACUUCUAAAAUAUUGCUCUAUAGAUAUAAUUUCUUAAAAGAUAAUUGUCUAUUUUUCUACUAAAUUUUUCAACUUGAAAUCAAUAAGUAAAUACUUUGGCGAUAAGAUUUGAGAUCCAUAAGAUGAUACCUAUAGUCCUAGUUAUUGUUAUAUUUUAUUGGGGGCUUGUAUGAUCAUUAUUGAUGGUAUUCUGAUGCUUGUAAUAGAUAAUCUAAUAACAAUUAUUUUUUAUGCACUCUUUUAGGAAGAGAGAGAAAAGAAUUUUUUUUUUCAUAUUGUCUCUUAAUUAAUUAAAAAAAGAUGAUAAUUCUUCUAUUUUGAAGGUAAUAUAUAUUGAUUAACUGUAUUACAUGAAAAAAAAUUACUGUAGUUAUUACAUUUGGAUGCAGUAGCUAUGUAUGUGAACUCUUCAAAUCGGAUGAUGAAGAGGUACUCUCUUUUUUAAUAUAUAUUGGUAUGCUUUUUCUUUCACUUUUCGCCAAAUCUUCUUCUAAUCUCUUGGCUAUUCUUCUGCCUUCUUUCAGAGAUUAUACUUUCAGUUUUUUUUUUCAUUUUUUUGGUAUGCUACAAUUAAUUAUAGGUACCUUUUUCAGUUUAUU